UGUGUGGACGUGCACGCAGCCGGUGUUAUACAUAUGUUGCGGGUGGUGUCCUUAAGUGUUGUGGGUAACGCGCUUGAUGGCGGGUGGCGUGGGUUGGUGGGAAAAUCGGGGGCUCUAGCCAGGACGUGUGGUGGGGGCGGGCGUAGUAGAGUAGGGUAGGGGAGGCCGUAAUUCCUGGUGUAGCGGGUAAAUGCGCAGAGAUCAGGAGGAACACCGAUGGCGAAGGGAGGUCUCUGGGCCACUACUGACGCUGAGAAGCGAAAUCAUGGGGAGCGAACAGGAUUAGAUACCCUAGUAGUC
rnacentral:rRNA from 1 species